rnacentral:siRNA from 1 species
UCCUAUAGCCUAUAAGUAUGGAAG